AAAAUCAGCGUAGCAUGCUGAAUGGCUAGCGUGCUUAAAGAAUUUUAAAAAUUAAAGAUUAAAGAUUUGGUAUGGUUUAUCAAGUCGAAUGCUUUACUAAAAUCCAAAAAUAGUACCCUAAUUAUGGUCUUCGGUUUUUCCAAAGCUUGAUACCAGUUGUGUAGCAACUUUAAUAGAGCCAGGAUUGUAUAUGAGCCCGGGAGACCACCAUAUUGUGCUGGGGAUAUGUUAGAAGAAAUGUCUUCCAUCAUCCAUUCAACUACAAAAGACUCUUGGAUCUUAGAAAAAAUACUUGUGAGGGCAAUUGGGCGUAAAGCUUCUACAGACGGCAAUGGAACAAUCUUCGGGACUGGGCAGAUAUAAUAUGCUUUCCAAAUACUUGGGAAUUCUUUCGUUGAGAAUGAGUUAUUUAUAUUGCACAUUACUGGUCCCAAAAGAUCUGCGACAGAUUUGGUCAAAGGGACCUGCAGCUUUAACUGAAGAUCUUAGGAAAAAACAAACAAGCCAUCGAGCAGCGAGUUGAUAUAGACAGUGGGAACCUAUUAACUCCCCAGCUGACAAAUGUCGAAGGUACAGAUAACGACUAGAAAAUACAUGCAUGCAGAAACCCUCGCCUUGCUGACAAAACCAUUGUAUUUUCCGAACAUGAAGUAUCUAAAGUAGUUGUCAUGGUAACACGAU